CGGGAUGUGGCGCAGCUUGGUAGCGCACUACGCUGGGGGUGUAGUGGUCGUCGGUUCAAAUCCGACCAUCCCGACCA
rnacentral:tRNA from 3 species